GAAUGACAAGGACAUCGCCGCUGUACUCGACUGAGUAGACCUGAAACUGAUCUGACCCGCCCGCCCAUUGAGGCGGGGUUUUCUAUGGAGCGAACAUGACUGAAGCCGCUGCCGCCGAANNNGCUUGAAGACUUUGUCGACGAUUCCCCGCCUGAAGAUAUCGAGAAGGCCAAGGCCAUCGGUUGGAAAGACCCCUCUGAAUGGAAGGGUGCGCCGCCAAAGUUCGGCUUCAUCAA
rnacentral:misc_RNA from 1 species